GGGGAAUAUUGGACAAUGGGCGCAAGCCUGAUCCAGCCACGCCGCGUGAAGGAAGAAGGUUUUCGGAUCGUAAACUUCUGUUGAGAGGGAAGAAAGGGCGAUGAAGAGUCGCAGAUGACGGUACCUCUUUAGAAAGCACCGGCUAACUCCGUGCCAGCAGCCGCGGUAAUACGGAGGGUGCAAACGUUGCUCGGAAUCACUGGGCGUAAAGAGCUCGUAGGCUGUUUAACAAGUUAGGUGUGAAAUCCCCGGGCUUAACCUGGGAACUGCGCUUAAAACUGUUAAGCUUGAGUCAGGUAGAGGAUAGUGGAAUUCCCGGUGUAGAGGUGAAAUUCGUAGAUAUCGGGAGGAACAUCUGAGGCGAAGGCGGCUAUCUGGGCCUGAACUGACGCUGAGGAGCGAAAGCGUGGGGAGCAAAC
rnacentral:rRNA from 1 species